CGCAACGCGAAGAACCUUACCUACUCUUGACAUCCAGAGAAGACUGCAGAGAUGCGGUUGUGCCUUCGGGAACUCUGAGACAGGUGCUGCAUGGCUGUCGUCAGCUCGUGUUGUGAAAUGUUGGGUUAAGUCCCGCAACGAGCGCAACCCUUAUCCUUAGUUGCCAGCGCGUAAUGGCGGGAACUCUAGGGAGACUGCCGGUGAUAAACCGGAGGAAGGUGGGGACGACGUCAAGUCAUCAUGGCCCUUACGAGUAGGGCUACACACGUGCUACAAUGGUAUGUACAGAGGGAGGCAAGCUGGCGACAGUGAGCGGAUCUCUUAAAGCAUAUCGUAGUCCGGAUCGCAGUCUGCAACUCGACUGCGUGAAGUCGGAAUCGCUAGUAAUCGCAAAUCAGAAUGUUG
rnacentral:rRNA from 1 species